rnacentral:rRNA from 1 species
UACGGGGGGGGCAAGCGUUGUUCGGAAUUACUGGGCGUAAAGGGCUCGUAGGCGGCCAACUAAGUCAGACGUGAAAUCCCCAGGCUCAACCUGGGAACUGCGUCUGAUACUGGAUGGCUUGAAUCCGGGAGAGGGAUGCAGAAUUCCAGGUGUAGCGGUGAAAUGCGUAGAUAUCUGGAGAAAUACCGGUGGCGAAGGCGGCAUCCUGGACCGGCAUUGACGCUGAGGAGCGAAAGCCAGGGGAGCAAACGGG